AGCGAACGCUGGCGGCAGGCCUAACACAUGCAAGUCGAACGAACUCUUCGGAGUUAGUGGCGGACGGGUGAGUAACACGUGGGAACGUGCCUUUAGGUUCGGAAUAACUCAGGGAAACUUGUGCUAACACCGAAUGUGCCCUUCGGGGGAAAGAUUUAUCGCCUUUAGAGCGGCCCGCGUCUGAUUAGCUAGUUGGUGAGGUAAAGGCUCACCAAGGCGACGAUCAGUAGCUGGUCUGAGAGGAUGAUCAGCCACAUUGGGACUGAGACACGGCCCAAACUCCUACGGGAGGCAGCAGUGGGGAAUCUUGCGCAAUGGGCGAAAGCCUGACGCAGCCAUGCCGCGUGAAUGAUGAAGGUCUUAGGAUUGUAAAAUUCUUUCACCGGGGACGAUAAUGACGGUACCCGGAGAAGAAGCCCCGGCUAACUUCGUG
rnacentral:rRNA from 1 species